rnacentral:rRNA from 1 species
CUACGGGGUGCAGCAGUGAGGAAUAUUGGACAAUGGAGGCAACUCUGAUCCAGCCAUGCCGCGUGCAGGAAGACGGCCCUAUGGGUUGUAAACUGCUUUUAUACAGGAAGAAUGUUAUCUACGUGUAGAUAUUUGACGGUACUGUACGAAUAUGGAUCGGCUAACUCCGUGCCAGCAGCCGCGGUAAUACGGAGGAUCCAAGCGUUAUCCGGAAUCAUUGGGUUUAAAGGGUCCGCAGGCGGUUCAUUAAGUCAGAGGUGAAAUCCUACCGCUCAACGGUAGCAUUGCCUUUGAUACUAUGGACUUGAGUUAUAGUGAAGUAGUUAGAAUGUGUAGUGUAGCGGUGAAAUGCAUAGAUAUUACACAGAAUACCGAUUGCGAAAGCAGAUUACUAACUGUAUACUGACGCUGAGGGACGAAAGCGUGGGUAGCGAACAGGAUUAGAUACCCUAGUAGUC